UAUAACCMUUUCGGGGGAGGAGGGUSCCGAAGGCGGGGUUGAUGACUGGGGUGAAGUCGUAACAAGGUAGCCGUACCGGAAGGUGUGGCUGGAUCNCCUCCUUU
rnacentral:rRNA from 1 species